UCCACUGGGCUGACCGGCCUGGGAUUCCUGCCUUCUAGGUCUAGGCCCAGUGAGAGACUCCAC
rnacentral:miRNA from 1 species